CAAAACUACUUUCACUUCAAUUUAUUUUUUUAAUAUUUUUUUAUUUGUCUAUCCUGAUGAUAAUAGAAAAAUAUUACUCAUCUUUUUUAAUAUUACAAUAACUUCUUUUUAUUUUAAACUAGUUUGUUCAUUUUAAUUAGAAAGAAAUAUACAUUAGUUUUGUUUUUUUUAUUUUUUAAUUAUUCAAUACUGAGAUAAUUAAUAUUAAAAAAUAUUCAUACACAUAAUUAAUAAUAGAUACAUAUGAUAAAUGGGUUUGUGUUAUUUGAUAACUAUGUAUUUAUAGAUUAUUUUUCUGAUAUAAAUUUUUAUAUUAAAGUUUGCCUUAAUCUACACGCCAUAACGACUAAUCUAUUAUCUAUCUAUCUAUCUAUUACUAUAUACUAAAAUAGAACCCUUAAUGAACCCUACGUGAGAAGUUGACACGUGGCGCUCUAUAUGUUUGCCACGUGUCAAGCUCAAAUAUAGAUUUUCUAUUUUAGAAAAAAUAAAAUUAGAUUUUUUAAAAAAAUAAUAUUUUUUACUAUAUAGAAAAUCUACGUGUCAAGCUCAAAUAUAGAUUUUCUACUUUAGCGAAUAUUUCAAAGUCACUUAUAAUUAUGUUGUGCGGAUAUUACUAUUUGGAAUAUGACUACUUUAGGAAAAAUAAAAUUAAAUUUUUUAAGAAAAUAGUAUCUUUUACAAUAUUAUUAAAAAUCACCUAUAAUAAAUGAAGAAGAUUUUAUUUCAAAAUGGCAUAUAAUUAUGUUGAGAUAUUUGAGAAAUUUAUGCGAAAGAAUUAGCGAGUGCGGAUAUUACUGCUUUAGAAAAAAUAAUCUACGUGUCAAGUUCAAAUAUAGAUAUUUUACUUUAGGAAAAAUAAAAUUAGAUUUUUUAAGAAAAUAAUACUUUAGGAAAAAUAAAAUUAGAUUUUUUUUUAAGAAAAUAAUACUUUAUGGAAAACAAAAUUAGAUUUUUUAAGAAAAUAAUAUCUUUUACUAUAUUAUUAAAAAUCACCUAUAAUUAAUGAAAUUUUAUACAUAGGGAAAAUAAAAUUAGAUUUUUUAAGAAAAUAAUAUCUUUUACUAUAUAGAAAAUCUGCGUGUCAAACUCAAAUACAGAUUUUCUACUUUAGAAAAAAUAAAAUUAAAUUUUUAAAGGAAAUAAUAUCUUUUACUAUAUUAUUAAAAAUCAUCUGUAAUGAAGGAAAUUUUAUUUCAAAGUCACCUAUAAUUAUGUUGAGAUAUUUAAGAAAUUCACGGAUAUUACGUUACGAAAGAAUUGGCGGGUAUAGAUAUUACGCAUGAGAAGGAAAAUAUUUAUCUUUAUUCGGGAAUAAAUUACUAUUUAGUUAAUUAUUUGAAAUUAUUAGUUGAAAAUUACUGGACAUAAAAAUAUUAGUAAAAAAGGAUAGAGACAAUUUUCUAACGUGGCUUUCUAUAUGUUUUCCACGUGUCAUCGUAUCUAUUCUAUUUACUAUAUUAUUAAAUUCAAAUGAUAGGUGGAUUAAUGAGAUAUUUGAGAAAUUCACGAAUAUUACGUUGUGAAAGAAUUAACGGAUAUUACGCGUGAGAAGGAAAAUAUUUGAGAAACGCGUAGAUAGAAAAUAGGACAUAAAUGCGAGGGUAAUAGUGUCACAAAAAUUAACAGAUAUUUUUAUUUUCAAUCAUUAGAUAAGAUCUAAUAGCAAAAAAUUAAUAUAUUUUGCUAUAUUAUUAAAAAUCAUCUAUAAUGAAGGAGAUUUUACUUCAAAAUCACCUAUAAUUAUGUUGAGUUAUUUAAAAAAUUCACGAAUAUUAUGUGGCAAAAAAAUUGGCCGGUACAGAUAUUACGCGUGAGAAGAAAAAUAUUUAUCUUUAUUUGGAAAUAAAUUACUACUUAGUUAAUUAUUUAAAAUGAUUGGUUGAAAAUUUUUGGACAUAAAAAUAUUAGUAAAAAAUGAUAGAGACAUUUUUGGAAAGAGAAAAAGUUCAAAACUCACGCUUUUAUAAAAAAUUAAUAUUUUUUACUAUAUUAUUAAAAAUCACAUAUAAUGAAGGAAAUUUUAUUUCAAAGUCACCUAUAAUUAUAUUGAGAUAUUUGAGAAAUUUAUGGAUAUUAUGUUGCGAAAGAAUUGGCGGGUGCGGAUAUUACGCGUGAGAAGAAAAAUAUUUAUCUUUAUUUGGGAAUAAAUUAUUAUUUAGUUAAUUAUUUGAAAUGAUUGGUUGAAAAUUUCUGGACAUAAAAAUAUUAGUAAAAAAUGAUAGAGGCAUUUUUGGAAAGAGAAAAAAAAUUUAAAACUCACAUCACUCCUGUAAUUUUCUUCGCUCUCUUAAAUAUUGAUGCUUUAAAAUAGAACAUAUUAUUUUUUCCUACUGUCACUUCUGUAAUUUUCAUUUCGUAAUUUUUUUCCCUACUGUCACUGCUGUUACUUUCCAUCUUCAUGCAACAAAGUUUUUUUUCUUUAUAUUUUCUUGAAAACCAACAUCUAUAUAUUUUUGAAUCUUAAGAGUGACAGUAGGAACAUAAUAUAUGUGUGGUUACUCUAAUUUGUGUCAAAUAUGAAAGUUUAGUUGAUCUCAUUAUAUGCUUAAUGUAGUGUUCCAGAGCUUUGGAUAGGAUUGGCUUCAGUGUUAGUGACUAGUUGACACAUCUGGAGAGUGUCGGACUGAGUCGGAGUCGUUCCUGUGUCACGCCCCGGGGUCCCCUUUUUAGUUUGAAACACAGCGGAAAAGCGUUUAAAUUUUUUUUUUUUUUUUUUUUUAAAAGCCUGACCCCAGAGUAUGCCAGAUCCGCCACAAAUACAGGGAAUCCACUAUUCACACGGACAGAGUCUCCCCUGUAUUUGCACGGCGUCGCACA
rnacentral:lncRNA from 1 species